UACGUAGGGUGCAAGCGUUGUCCGGAAUUACUGGGCGUAAAGCGUGCGUAGACGGUAGCGUAAGUCGGGUGUGAAAGCCCCGGGCUCAACCUGGGAAUGGCAUUCGAGACUGCUCUGCUAGGGUGCGGAAGAGGGGAGCGGAAUUUCCGGUGUAGCGGUGAAAUGCAUAGAUAUCGUCAAGAACACCGAUAGCGAAGGCAGCUUACUGGGCUGUAACUGACGCUGAUGCACGAAAGUGUGGGGAUCAAACAGG
rnacentral:rRNA from 1 species